rnacentral:rRNA from 1 species
UACGGAGGGUGCAAGCGUUUAUCCGGAUUCACUGGGUUUAAAGGGUGUGUAGGCGGGUAUUUAAGUCAGUGGUGAAAUCUCCAGGCUCAACCUGGAAACUGCCAUUGAUACUAUAGAUCUUGAAUUUUCUGGAGGAUAGCGGAAUAUGUCAUGUAGCGGUGAAAUGCUUAGAUAUGACAUAGAACACCAAUUGCGAAGGCAGCUAUCUACAGGGAUAUUGACACUGAGGCACGAAAGCGUGGGGAUCAAACAGG